AUUUCCCUCUUUCUUUAGGCCUAACACAUGCCAGUCGAACGGCAGCACAGUAAGAGCUUGCUCUUACGGGUGGCGAGUGGCGGACGGGUGAGGAAUAAAUCGGAAUCUACUUUUUCGUGGGGGAUAACGUAGGGAAACUUACGCUAAUACCGCAUACGACCUACGGGUGAAAGCAGGGGAUCUUCGGACCUUGCGCGAUUGAAUGAGCCGAUGUCGGAUUAGCUAGUUGGCGGGGUAAAGGCCCACCAAGGCGACGAUCCGUAGCUGGUCUGAGAGGAUGAUCAGCCACACUGGAACUGAGACACGGUCCAGACUCCUACGGGAGGCAGCAGUGGGGAAUAUUGGACAAUGGGCGAAAGCCUGAUCCAGCCAUACCGCGUGGGUGAAGAAGGCCUUCGGGUUGUAAAGCCCUUUUGUUGGGAAAGAAAAGCAGCAGGUUAAUACCCCGCUGUUCUGACGGUACCCAAAGAAUAAGCACCGGCUAACUUCGUG
rnacentral:rRNA from 1 species